rnacentral:rRNA from 1 species
GGCUGCAGUGGGGAAUAUUGCACAAUGGGGGAAACCCUGAUGCAGCAACGCCGCGUGAAGGAAGACGGUUUUCGGAUUGUAAACUUCUAUCAAUAGGGAAGAAAGAAAUGACGGUACCUAAAUAAGAAGCCCCGGCUAACUACGUGCCAGCAGCCGCGGGAAUACGUAGGGGGCAAGCGUUAUCCGGAAUUACUGGGUGUAAAGGGAGAGUAGGCGGCAAGGUAAGCGAUAUGUGAAAGCCUUAGGCUUAACCUGAGGAUUGCAUAACGAACUAUCUAGCUAGAGUACAGGAGAGGAAAGCGGAAUUCCUAGUGUAGCGGUGAAAUGCGUAGAUAUUAGGAAGAACACCAGUGGCGAAGGCGGCUU